rnacentral:rRNA from 1 species
GAACUGAAGAGUUUGAUCAUGGCUCAGAUUGAACGCUGGCGGCAGGCUUAAGACAUGCAAGUCGAGCGGAAACGACGGGAGCUUGCUCCCAGGCGUCGAGCGGCGGACGGGUGAGUAACGCGUAGGAAUCUGCCCAGUAGUGGGGGAUAGCCCGGGGAAACUCGGAUUAAUACCGCAUACGCCCUACGGGGGAAAGCAGGGGAUCUUCGGACCUUGCGCUAUCGGAUGAGCCUGCGUGAGAUUAGCUUGUUGGUAGGGUAAUGGCCUACCAAGGCGACGAUCUCUAGCUGGUCUGAGAGGAUGAUCAGCCACACUGGAACUGAGACACGGUCCAGACUC